AUAAUGACUCUCGGCAACGGAUAUCUAGGCUCUUGCAUCGAUGAAGAACGUAGCGAAAUGCGAUACUUGGUGUGAAUUGCAGAAUCCCGUGAACCAUCGAGUCUUUGAACGCAAGUUGCGCCCGAUGCCAUUAGGUUGAGGGCACGUCUGCUUGGGUGUCACAU
rnacentral:rRNA from 2 species